AACACACCACAAAAUCAACAUAAUUCAUAUAAGUCAUAUAAAAGACUUUAAAUCAACCAAAAUAUUUAAAUGAAUAAAUAGGGCGUUACAUAAUGUUAAACGCAUUUUGUUCCAACACAUUUCAGUAUCAGAAAACAUAGCUUAUGUUGCUGAACCAAUCAAUGCAGCAAAGCAUGAGAACUCAUAAAAAGGUGCAUUUUAUUCUAGUCUUGAACCUGUCAUUGAAACUGCACCUACCUUAGCCUCUGUUAGUCAUUUAUAUGUUGAAUCAGGAACAUCUCAUUAACCAGAUUGGACCUUAGGUGGUUCAAUGGACUCUGAUGAUGAAAUGCCUGAUGUUAAUGCGGACAGUAAGCCUACCACUUCAUCUCAACCCAGUCUUGACCUACCAUCUACUUCUACAUCUCAAACUAUCCCAGACCAACCUACAACAUCUCAAACCAUCAGAGUGUCACCUCCUUCUACCCUUUUGCUAGACUCUGUUGUAUUAAAUGAGAUAUGUGAACUGAUUUUUUAGGAUCUGACAAACCUUGUCAAGACAAGAAAUAAAAUCUAGUUCAAACUAAAAAUUAUGAAGAUAAGUGGUUGGAGCUAAGGGAAAGAGUUGAUAGAAUCUUGUGUGAUACGCAAAGGCUAUCUGUAAAAGCUCAAAAUCAGUCUCUAAACAGCUGGUUCAAGGAAGUCAUCAAGAAUAUGGAAGAAACGGAAGUCAUAAGGAACAAGUUAUACAUAUCAGACUCUCCAUUCUUCCUGGAUGCCUCUUCAGUCAUAUCCUCAUCUGUCAAAGAGGAUCUGAACAUUUCUUGGUUGACUCGGCUGCAUGGCAAGCCUCAGAUUCCGAUUAUUGAGCAACUGAAGAAACCAGAGCCUGUUGAAGAUAUAAGAGUUGAGAAAUUGGAGCAAGAAUUGUUUGAGCAGAAGAUGUUGUCUGAAAAAUUUAAGAGACAAAUGUCAGAGAUAAAAGAAGAAUACAAGGCACGUGAGGAAGCACAAGCCAAGAGAUCAGAUGCUCUAGAAGAGACCUUGAAGAAACAAUAUGAAGAGAUGAAGACAAUGAUGGCUAAAAUGAUGGAUUUGGUGAAGAAACAACACAAACCUUAGAAUGCACACUUUUUUUUUUUCUUUUUCUGAUCACAUUGUUUUAUUUAUGCUCCUGAUACUUGUUUCAUAUCUUUUGCUCUGAUAUUUUGCCUGCUCUGACAAUAUUGUGAUUAUUAUCCAUUGAUAUAUAUGUUAACCAUGCCUUGAUUGUACUUAGAAUUAUCUCAUGUUUUUCUUACGUCUCUUAUUGGUAUUUAUUGUACUUUUUGUUAAUGACGAAAGGGGGAGUAGAUAUGGUAUACAUUUAGACUCUGAGUCCCACUAAUUUAACUUAAAAUUUAAUUAGGAGAAACUGCUUCUCAUCUCUUAGUCUUUAGAAUUAUUUUGAGUGAUGUUUUUAAGUUUAAAAUGAAUUUAAUUAACAUGGAUAGACUUAAGGGGAGCUUACAAACCUCAUACCCUAAAGUCAACUUGUUAAUUAGAUUAACAACAAUGGACCUUUAAUAGGGGGAGAUUGUUGGAACAAAAUGUGUUUAACAUUACCACCUUAAAUUUUGAUGAUAACAAGGUAUUAAAAUGUCAAUUGAAAUAUGCUAAUAUUUGUUCAAGUGUGCAUGACCAUAGACAGAAAGUUAU
rnacentral:lncRNA from 1 species